rnacentral:rRNA from 1 species
AUCUGCCCUGCACUUCGGGACAAGCCCUGGAAACGGGGUCUAAUACCGGAUACUCACCGCCUUCCGCAUGGGGGGUGGUGGAAAGCUCCGGCGGUGCAGGAUGAGCCCGCGGCCUAUCAGCUUGUUGGUGGGGUAGUGGCCCACCAAGGCGACGACGGGUAGCCGGCCUGAGAGGGCGACCGGCCACACUGGGACUGAGACACGGCCCAGACUCCUACGGGAGGCAGCAGUGGGGAAUAUUGCACAAUGGGCGAAAGCCUGAUGCAGCGACGCCGCGUGAGGGAUGACGGCCUUCGGGUUGUAAACCUCUUUCAGCAGGGAAGAAGCGAGAGUGACGGUACCUGCAGAAGAAGCACCGGCUAACUACGUGCCAGCAGCCGCGGUAAUACGUAGGGUGCGAGCGUUGUCCGGAAUUAUUGGGCGUAAAGAGCUCGUAGGCGGCCUGUUGCGUCGGUUGUGAAAGCCCGG